rnacentral:ribozyme from 1 species
UGCCCAGCAACUCCUAUCCCUACCUCCUCGCGGUACUGGCGGGGGUACGAGUAACCUUAGGGAAGAUCGGGUAACCAACCCCCGGUGGGAACUUUGGUCGUAUGCUGACAGGGAAGG